rnacentral:rRNA from 1 species
CUACGGGGCGCUGCAGUGGGGAAUAUUGCACAAUGGGGGGAACCCUGAUGCAGCAACGCCGCGUGGAGGAUGACGCAUUUCGGUGUGUAAACUCCUUUUAUAUGUCAAGAAAAUGACGGUAGCAUAUGAAUAAGCACCGGCUAACUCCGUGCCAGCAGCCGCGGUAAUACGGAGGGUGCAAGCGUUACUCGGAAUCACUGGGCGUAAAGGACGCGUAGGCGGGUUGGAAAGUCAGGUGUGAAAUCCUACAGCUUAACUGUAGAACCGCACUUGAAACUUCUAAUCUAGAGUAUGGGAGGGGGAGAUGGAAUUAGUGGUGUAGGGGUAAAAUCCGUAGAUAUCACUAGGAAUACCUAAAGCGAAGGCGAUCUCCUGGAACAUUACUGACGCUAAGGCGUGAAAGCGUGGGGAGCAAACAGGAUUAGAUACCCUCGUAGUC